rnacentral:lncRNA from 1 species
AAAAAUUUUCUGCCAUCCCUUAUUCUUCUCCACAGACUCUUGCCAUGCGGUCUAAACCUCUCUCUUCUUCCCCUCUCUUUCUCCCAAUCCCCUCACCUCGACACAAUCACCCUCCUCCACAACCUGUCCUUCUCGCUAAGAAAUCUUCAUAACCACUUCCCAUGAAGAGCUUUGUUCAUAUCCAUAAUGGAUCUUAAUCCCAAACCUCCCUCCCCCACUCCCUUUUUAACGUCCUCCAAUCUAACAAGAUGAUAUUUUCUGUCUCC